GCUCCCUGGGUCUCAGUGGGAGCAUGGGCCCCACGCCUCGCCUCCCGUCUGACCUUGCCCUGCCCUCGCGCUGCCCCACAGGGACAGGCCGCUGAGUGAGGACACUGUCUGCCUUGUUGUCUCUGGCCUGCCAUGUGACUUUGGGCCUCGGUGCCCAGCUAUAGGAAGAUCCUACCAGGCAGGGGGAACAGCAAGUGCAAAGGCCCUGAGAGCCAAACCCAGCCUCCUGGAGGAGGGAGAAAGAGGAGCUACAAAGGGUACAGCUGGUGCUGCUGGGCCCAAGGGAGGC